rnacentral:rRNA from 1 species
UACGUAGGUGGCAAGCGUUGUCCGGAUUUAUUGGGUUAAAGGGUGCGUAGGCGGUCUUAUAAGUCAGUGCUGAAAUAUCCCGGCUUAACCGGGAGGGUGGCAUUGAUACUGUAGGACUUGAGUAAAGUUGAGGUUGGCGGAAUUGACGGUGUAGCGGUGAAAUGCUUAGAUAUCGUCAAGAACACCGAUAGUGUAGACAGCUAAC